rnacentral:lncRNA from 13 species
AUCCUUCUUUGCAGUAAUCUCUAAUCUUUUUUUUUAAAAAAAAAACAUUUCUACAUUCCCAAAGUAGAAAUUGACCUGAACACUAUCUUACCACCAAAAGAAAGUUGGCCCAACUCUGAAUUCUGCUUCAAAUCUUAACUUCUAACAUAUCUUUAGGUUAAACAGAACUAAGGUUAAAGUAGCACAGCCUGGAGAAUCAAUGAGUUGAUGCUACAAUUGUAUAGUUAAAAACCAUAUUUACUCUAAAUUGCAAAAUGGUAGGUAUUGUAUGUGAUGUUUAAGUCGCAGCAAUUGUUCUAGUAAUAAAUGUAAUAUUCAGCAGCAUUUUUUAUAGAUUACUCAGUUCAUCAUUAGUGCCAUUUUUGCCUCUUUAUAAUAAUGUGCACUUUUCUUUAGAAAGAGCUUGGUUAUUGCUUUGGUUGGGCCUAUUUGCUCCUUUUUUUAUGUGAGAUUUUUCAAUACUAUGAAAUGAUGCAGAGCAAAAAAGGUCCAUCCACUUCACUUGUGUUGCCUCCCGCGUUACCUAAACCACAACAGAACAAUGACAGACAACAGAGCUUUUCUCCUCUCUAACAAUUCAGUCACCAUGACAACCAGCAGAAGAACGUUGGGCCAGAAAAAAGCAUUGAGCUUGAGGGACUAGACUAAUCAAAAAAUGGAAUAACAUGGCAACAAUUACACUGAUGAGUGAGAGGGAAGCUACGGAUGCAUUCAGACACCUAAGGCACUGCAGACUCAACGCAUUCAGCAUUUUGUGUUUAGUGUCUUGUGUUUUUGAGAGCAGGGAAAUGACCUUUUCCUGGCCCUUAGCUCAUCCAGGUGGAGUCUGUCCGGAGAAGUGGUGUGUGGAGGUGGCCAAGGCAUUGCCACAAGAGGCAGCUUUCAGCAGAAUUGGGAACAGCCCUUCCUGGGGAAGACGUGUCCUUCGGACUUUGGCUGAUGAGCAUUCUAAGUUGGCAGCAGAGGAGAAUCAUUCCUUUAUCCUCUGUCAUCAGAGGAGGGAUAAAGAAAGAGGGAAAAAAGGGUAAAGAACAUACUUUUCUGGGCUUGAUGAAGAAAUCCACAUCCCUUGAAAGCAAGUUACAACAGUUUAUCUGGAAAUCGCCAUAUAGAGGAGGGCUUGAAUUUGGUCAAGUAUUUGUUUUUACCAAAGACCUUCUUGGUUUAGAAGUACAGCAGCUGAUAAUUGGACAUGGGAAGGGGCCCAUCAGCUGCAGUGGGCCUCCUCCCCUAAGAAGGCCAAUUUGAGCUGCUUCCAGGAGAUCUUGUGUCAAAUACGAAAGAAAAAUGAGGGUUUUCUAUGAAAUUAUUGUGAAAAGGUGAGAAAACAGCUAAAUCAGCUUUGUAGGAGAUAAACAGUGAUAUCUUGAGUAGACUCACACUUUACAAAAGCCAGAUAUUCUUAUUUUAGACAACAUAAACGUGUUCAUCCUUUCAAUACAGUCUCCAACAUUUUACUUUACCGCAAAAAUCUGCUUAUCAGUCUUAACACCCUUCUCUGAGUUAGUUGCCAGAUAAAAGGCCACAGCAAUUGGAAGAAAUUUAUCUUUAAAACAUUUCUAUUAUGCUUGGUGACAAUGCAGUUUCCACUAAGGACUUCUCUAGUAUGGUUUUUUUUUUUUUUUUUCCCUAUAGAUGAAGCAGGAAUCCAAAAGGACUUUUCACAUUGCCUCAGG